rnacentral:misc_RNA from 1 species
AAGAAAAUGAUUACUUACAAAGUCGCAAUCAAGCUUGUUGCAGGUGCCGGCAGGGACACCAGCCUCUCAUGAAGAAAAAUUACUGAUAUAACUACAAGAAGUCUAACCACAAAAGAGUAAAAACUGGUUAUCAGAGGAAAUGAUAGAAAUUUCCUUCUUUGCUAACACACGCGAAAAUUAGUUAUCUUAAGACCUUCCUGAGCCGUAUCAACAGGUUACACAACAAUAAAAACUUGCAUUACACACGGCGACUGGUGGUAAAUGCAAGAUCACAGAGGAAAAGUGUCUAUUCACACCAACGUCUUGUGCAUCGACUUAGUCAUCCUUUUUCAGUUUCAACUUUGCUUCGACAUCACCACUGUAAGGAGCCACGUGGUAUGCAUAUUGCUGCAUAACAGAAAAGAAAACCAUCUCCACACAAAUUAAAACAUUCUGAAUGGCUUCCUGAAGGUGCUCCACAUCCAACCAAAAAUGGUGAGAUUUGAUAAUUCCCCACGAGACUAGAAUUUUAACCAGCAACCCCUGCCAAAAGCUGAAGAAAACUAUCCCUUUAAUGCAGAUGAACUUUGAAAGUGGUUUGUGUGGCUGCAGUUCCUUUGAGAAAACAUGGUAGAAAACAACCAAGGAGUACAUGGCCACUGAGAAUGAAAUAUUGAGAAUGAUGGUAAACGUCCAGCUGAGCCAAUUCGGAUACAACCCAAGAAUCUGCAACGUGAUCAUCAAGAUAGAGCAUGCUGGACGGAUAAUGACAAACUGCCAUGUCCAAUGCUUGAGAAGUUUCAGUGUCCGGUGAUCUAAGUGAGCAGUGCGAGGCUGAAAUAGAGUCAUCGGAAAGGAAUGAUGAAUUUCCCUCCCCUUGAUUUCAUCAGGCACAAUGUUUUUGCUGAUGGAUAUAUUCAAAUAACUAUACAUCAAAGCCAAAAAUUUGGCAAUUGCCACAGCCUCAUAGCAUUCUUUAACUGAGUCUAGAAACAUGAAAAAUGUUUUGCUUCCACGAAUAUCUAACAAACCCACAAACGAGUCAAUGGCAUAAAGGGGAGCCAUACAUAUAAUCAUGAUUAUUGCCUUUUGCUCCUUUGGGUUUUUCCAGAAGAAGAGGUGUUGUGACAAGAGCUGUAUCGUGAAAUGCAUCGAAAGCAAAGCAGAAAAUCCUGAUCCCACCAUAGUGAGUUGUGCACGGUCCAUACUAGCAAAGUCCAUAUUUUACCAAGCCUUGCAAGAACACAACACAAAGCUCCUCAGUAUAAUAAAUCAAGAAUGAAGAUAGUGACAACAAAUUCGUGCAGAGUAUUGUGAAUCUACUA